UAUGACCGUUACAGAAUAUGAGGCCAAGUUUACAGAUUUAUCCAGGUAUGUACCUUAUUUGGUAGAGGAUCCGAGAGAGAAGGUGAGACGAUUUGUGGAUGGACUUGAGCAUUGCUAUCGUGGUCCUGUAGUACGAGAUAUGCGAUAUGGUACCUAUUCAGAUGUAGUUGACACUGCUCUCCGUUACGAGUCCUAUCUAGAGAUGGACAAAGUUGAGCGUGAAAGCAAAAAGUCACGUAACACGGGUGGGUUUAGUGGUGCUCCAUAUGAGGGCAAGAGUGGUUUUUAUCGUGGGCAGUCCAGAUCUACUCAGUCAGAAUCAGUGGUGCAAUCUUCUAGUGGUUAUUCAGCUAGACAGGGCCAGCGGCGGAUGCGGAGGAAGGGUAAUAGCUCAUAUCGGUCGGGUUAUCAUCCGAGGUGUUCUAAGCUUGGUAGAAAUCACGGUGGUCGUUGCUUUGGGGCGGAUGGGGCUUGUUUUACUUGUGGUGAAAAGGGGCAUAUUGCUAAAUACUGUCCUAAAGGAAGUUCUGGUGCUAGUCGAGCUACUACACAGCCGCAGGGAACUACGACAGCUACACAGGGUCAGAUUCAGCCAGCUAGGACCGCUCCACAGGGUGUUCGUGGACAGGGACGACAGGGUGCACAGGUUUCUCAGGAAGGGGGAGGACCGUCGAGAUUCUUUGCUAUGACUAGACAGGAUGUCGAGGCAUCUAAUGCAGUAGUCACAGUUUGAGGCAAUACGGAGACUCGAGAACACAGUUUUGAUUUAUUGGGAAGUGUGCUUGAAUUGUGAAUUUGAGAUACUGUCGUUGAGAACGAGGCUGGUAAUUGAAGACUUCGUGAGUGGAUUCUGUUGCUGAGGUGAGCCACCGCAUUGUUCGUGGAGGCAGCCAUUUCAGCUUUAUCUAGUUUAUUUCUAGUUAUUUCUUUUAUUUUGGGUUUACAUGCCCGACACUCAAACUCAUGUAACUCUAUUAGAUGCUCCAUGGUUUUAGCAUGGGAUGUGGGCUAGAGAUUCUUUUUAUCUUAGCGUUGGUUGGUUUUCAUAAAUCGAUUAUGGAUUUGGUUGGCGA